CCGGCUCGUAGCUUCCGUGGGUCGGGACCUUCCCCGCAUACAAAGUCCUCUGAAUCCUCUGGGAUGAACCCCCGCAGGCUGAUCAGGAGCUCUGUGGAUGAAUUUUAAUGCGUUUCCCACAUUCAUUUGAAAGGGAACUCGAAUAAUUGCAAAAUGUAGACACAAUACUGAUUUAUUUUUUAACAAAUUUAAUAAUUGGUAAUGGGGGCAGGAAUUUGCCCCUCCCCCCCUCCAAAAUUUAGGAACACUGCCUUAAUGAAUGAGAUGGGAAAUACUGCUUUCCUAGAUUUCCUAGCACAGGCCGGCUUGCCAGUGAACCUCAGUUUACCACCAAAGUGGUGUUCACCUCUAGUCUAGAAGGGACAGAUGUUCAUUGUGCAUAUACCAGAUCCUGUGCUAAAGAUUUUAAUGCGUAUUUAAUUUUUACAAUAGUUCUCUGAGGUAGGUGUUGUCUCUCUCUCUUUUUAACAGACAAGACAUUUAGGCCAGAAACAUGAAGUCACUACUUCAAGGUCACACAAUGUGGGGAAUGGAAUCCAGACCCGAUUUCCUUGCUGGUCGAUUUUCUCAGACCUGCACAAUUUUGUGGACAUGUGAGUGAAUUCCACAUUACACAUUUUACAGAUGAAGCUAGUGAGAUAUGGAGCAACUGACUCUGAAUAGUCACCGCCCCACCCCUGGAGCCUCAUACAUGACUAUUCUCCUGCUCAAGUGACGGAAGAACAUCCAACCCACUUAGAUGAGGCUCCUGACUGUUGGCUUGAGAGACUGUCUUUUCUCUUGCCUGGCCCAACACCAGAGAUACAGAGAUGAAUGGGAUUCUGUCCUUGCUCUCAAGAUGUUACGGCCUGGAGAGGGAGACAGGCAGGUGGAAACAUGGUCUUGUCACUGUAGUGUUGUGGUUAGAGUGUGACUCUGGAUCCAGUCUACUGGGGCCUGAAUUCUGACUCACCACUUUUUGUGUGACCUUGGGUUCACCUCUGUAUGUGCAAAGCCUGCUGAGGCACUCAGUGAAUAAAAAGUUCUAUCCUCGGCCAUUGAAGAUGUAACUAUUGGUCUCUACUCGUCUGGAACAAAAGAGAAUGAAGGAAACCAAAGAUUCAAAGAAGAAACUAAUCCACAGGACUAAUAGCCCAUAUGAACCAUGGCCUCAUCU